GGCAAAAAUACUGAAGUGGGUUGCCAUUUCCUUCUGAAGGGGAUCUUCCCAACUCAGAAAUUGAACCCCUGCUUCUGGCAUUGGCAGGUGGGUUCUUUACCACUGAGCUGCCUGGGAAGCUCCCACUAGACUGAAUAAUGACCCCUAAAUGUCCGCCUUCUAAUCCGAGAAUCUGUGAAUGUGUUACUUUACAUGGCAAAAAGGGACAUUGCAGGUAAGAUUAAGUUAAGGAUCUUGAGAUGGGGAAAAGGAGCCUGGUGCACCCAGGUGUGUGCGAUGUAAUGACAGGAGCCUUAGGCGAGGGAGGCACGUGAGCGCAAUGGGUUGCGAAGAUCCUCCAAGCCGGCUUUGAAAAUGGAGGUAAAGGCCGCAAGCCGAGGAGUGCCUGAGGCCCCCAGAAGUCGGCAAAAGCAAGAAAACAGACUCUCGCUUGGAGCUUUCAGGAAGAACCAGACCCACGGACACGUUGAUUUUGCUCAUUUGGACUUCUGACCUCCAGAGCUGUAAGGGAUGACUGAUGACCUUGUCACGGCGACGCCAGUCAAAAUAUUUUCGGUCCAACUCCGUUCCAACCAGCACCGAGGCAUCCUGCGUGAGACCGGACAGAGUCUAAACAGCGCGUUUCCCAGGCUCAGAAGAAAUGAGUGGUGGGAAGACAAAAAGAAUCAAGCG